UGGAACGUCAAUUGGAACGUAAAUAUUUUCAACAAAAUUAUUUUCAGAUCUAUAUCAGGUUGAAUUUUUCAGAACAUUUCAAUAAAACCGUUCUUUUCGUUUUGCGUGGCAAAUUUUGGAAAUCACAAACAACCAUGCCUUGAAAAAUUAUAAGUGAAAUUCAUCCGUUUGACACGUGGCGUUAGAUACAAAAAUGUCAGAGAUCAGGGGUAAUAACUUUCACGCACUUCUGGCAAUGAACGACGCACGUCUGGACUCUCUGGAAAUUCCCAAAAUGAACGUUGCGGAUCGGAUAUUGGAUCUAAAUGUCAAUGGACGUGAAAGUUAUCUCGACUGAAACGUAUUCAGCGUCGCGAUCGGGCGCGAGCGCAGCAAGGAUUAAUUAUGCGAGAAUCAAAACGACGACAGCUGUGUCGCAGCGAUGUGGCUGCGAUACGAGUUGACCUAGGCCAGUGAUAAUAAAUAUACCGGCAGUUUAAGCGCCGACACCCGCCGAGGAAGGAAAAAAAAGAUACCCAGUGAAACCGGCUUUGCUCUUAAACCCUCGACCAUCGGGGUUUCCUCACCACGUGCGUGCAAAUCUAUUCUCGAAAAUGACGUCUGCGGUCCCCACUGGGGACAGGUCCACAGUUUCCCGCCAAAACUUUUCGUCGACUUCCAACGUUGAACCUUCUCGAUCGUUCUCCGAAAGGAAAAAUUAAGCAUCUUUUAGAGAGUAAAUACUUCGUUUGGAAAAUUCAACAUCAAUGUUUUUCUCAAAGUAUUAAAGCGUGAACGUAUAAAUAGGAUGGAGAGCCUCCUCUUGGCAAGUCAAGUGUAUGGAGGUUUGUAAAUCGAUGAAAAUCAACUAGAAUAUUUUAAAAUAUCCUGUACAAUCGCGCACAUUACUUUUCUUGAUCGAAUCAAUCAAAUUUCUAGAUUUCGGACGACACGAUUGUUAAAUAAAACAAUAAAAAAAAGAGGCCAGUUACGCGACUCAUUAUUAUCGCCGGAAGAAUGACGCGAUGUGACGCAAUUCGGUGAUGCACUUCAAGGCUCCCGCUACAUCGAUGUCGAUUAACGCGAAUACUUAUUAUCUCAGUUUCGUCGUUCUAUUUUUAAGAUAAAACUACUACGUCUCUCACUCUCUCACGAAAAAAAAAAAAAAAGAAAAGAAAAAAUGGCGUCACUAAUUUAGAUUCUUACAACGCUUGAUCAAUGUCGCGCGGCGAAGCAAAUCUUGCUUAUUCACACGUGGAUUCGUCGCAUUACUUUAUACGCAUUGCCAGCGGAGAUC